rfam:Triticum aestivum genome assembly, contig: Triticum_aestivum_CS42_TGACv1_scaffold_306593_4AS
GCCCACUUAGCUUAGAGGUUAGAGCAUCGCAUUUGUAAUGUGAGGGUCAUCAAUUCAAGUCCGAUAGUUGCCU